rnacentral:rRNA from 1 species
CACGUAGGGGGCAAGCGUUGUCCGGAUUAUUGGGCGUAAAGAGCUCGUAGGCGGUUCGGUAAGUCAGAUGUGAAAGCCCCGGGCUCAACCUGGGAACUGCAUUUGAAACUGGCGGGCUUGAGUGUGGCAGAGGGGGUGGAAUUCCGCGUGUAGCAGUGAAAUGCGUAGAGAUGCGGAGGAACACCGAUGGCGAAGGCAGCCCCUGGGCCGAACACUGACGCUCAGGCACGAAAGCGUGGGGAGCAAACAGG